UACGUAGGUGGCAAGCGUUGUUCGGAAUUAUUGGGCGUAAAGGGCGCGUAGGCGGUUGGUUAAGUCAGCUGUGAAAGCCCGGGGCUCAACCCCGGAGGGUCGGCUGAUACUGAUUGACUAGAGUACGGAAGAGGUAGCUGGAAUUCCCGGUGUAGCGGUGAAAUGCGUAGAUAUCAGGAAGAACACCAGUGGCGAAAGCGGCUACCUGGCCCAUUCUUGACGCUGAGGCGCGAAAGCCAGGGGAGCGAACGGG
rnacentral:rRNA from 1 species